AUGGAGAGAAGUGGGCACCUUCCAUCUUUUCCUGUAUCCUGCUUGAUUUCCAGCCUCUCAUGGGAGAAGGAAGUGGAGAGAUUAAAUAGUGGUGCCAUAAACACAGAGAGAAAGAUUAUGAAGAAAUGUUCUAUGAAUGUAAUGGUGAUCAGGAUGAACAAACAAAAGACGAUGAACAUCUUCCUGAAUGGUUCCCCUUUUUGGUCACCAGGAGAACAUGAGAGAAGCACAAGAUGAAAUCCAAGCCAUCUGACUCCAUCCUCUUGAUGUGAAGGAAAUUUCAACAGAGCCUGUUUUCUGAAUUUUCAGUCUAUCUCAUUCUGAGAAUUACACUCCAUAAAAGCAAUGGAUAGAAUGCUGAGCCUGGAGUCAGGAAGAACUAAAUUUAAAUCUUCCCUCACACACUUACUAGCUGUAUGACUUUGAGGAAGUCACUUCAACUCUGUUUGUUUGUUUCCUCAUCUGUAAAAUGGGGAUAAUAAUAGCAGCUACUUCCCAGGGUUGUUGUGAGAAUCAAAUGAGAUAAUAUUUGUAAAGCACUUAUAAUAGUGCCUGGCACAGAGUAAAUGCUAUUCAAAUGUUAGCUGUUACUGGAUUACUAUUAUUUCCAUUUUAUUGUAUCCUUUUAUGGUGUUUAAAUAAAUCACAUGGCUAUAAGUGAAAUUGGCCA
rnacentral:lncRNA from 1 species